GUUUUAUUUCAAAGUGCAUAUGUCGUUCAACUUCACAAUCAAUACAUCAACUUGGCAAAAUAAGAAAAUAUCUUUCACAAAAGGAUACCGAAAGUCUUAGUGUUCAUGCAUUUAUCUCAUCCAAACUAGUCGAUUAUUGCGUCCUCUUCAAAGGUUACAAAACACUGCUACCAAAGGUACUGCUACCAGAAGUUUAGAUCCUAAUUAGGGCCUGUUUACAUGGAGGUAGGGUGACCCUAUCAGGAGGGUUAUCCUAGCAAGCGGGUCAGAAAAUAGCGAGCGUUUACAUGAGGUAGGGUGACCCUACUGCUAGGGCUAUGUUGCCGGAUAGGGUAACCCUACCUAUGCGUGGUCGCUAAGCGGUCUGUAUUAGAUAAAUGGCGCCGAAACGCAAAGUUUUAGCGGCAAGUUGUGUAAUGCUAUUUAUUGGGCCUUUGCUUGCUGCAUUUCAAUGUUGUGGUCUGUUAUUUCCGAGGUUAUUUCAAUACCGUGGUCUGUUAUUUCAAUCGGUUGUGGUCUAUUACUCGCAUUGCGUAAAUAAGCGUAAUGUAUUCCUUGAUAUAGUCCAACACAACAGUUUUUCGACAUGUUCGGCUGACCAUGAGCAUUUAUUUUGUUUUUUUGACGUCGAUGAGGAUGCGCCGGAAUUUUGUUUCCUUUUCGCCGUCUUUGACAAUUUGUUAUCGAAAGUCGAAACUACAUCAUUCGCAGCGUUCUCGUCGAAAGUCAAAGCUUCGUUCUAUGCCUCUGUUUCCUUAUUUGUAAAUUGCUUAUCCUUUUUAUUUUCUGGUGUCGUUUAAAAUACUCGCCAGGCUGAUAUGUUCAUAUGUAUA